rnacentral:lncRNA from 1 species
CAAAGACUAAAAAUCAACCUAAUAAUAAGUUACCAAAGUCCUAGAGGGUAGAAAACACUAUACGUACUUGUCCAAGAAUAUUGACAUGGUAUGUGGAUGAAUCUUAUCAACCAACAGUCCUUUGUGUCGUGUUACUCCUUAGCUCGAAUAUCUACUAUUGGUGGCCACCUUCUCCUGUCAUAUCCCAACAGAAACAAUCCACCAACAGACUGAGCAAACCUAAACUCACAAUUCCCAACCAAUAUUGAAGGUGUGAUCGGUGCUUUACUCUCAUCACGGCGAGGUCGGUGAAUUGUAUAUGGCGCUUCAAUUGUAUCCACUUCCUAUGGAGGCAUAGAACUCCAUGGGACUGCAGCCCGACAGCCUCCACACCAUAAUCAUCAUCCAGACGCUACAUGCAUAACAGAAAAAAUAAAAUCAAAAGGAUUGAAGCCAAUGAGAUCGUGGAUAUAUACGGAUCAAGGCAGGGAAUCGCACAUUGAUAGGCCAAACCACCUUGAGGCCUAAUGCCAGCAACAGUAAUAGAAGAGAUGGCCAAGCUUCUUUUUCAUUCUGCCGCCAUCAGUCUCAAUAUUUUUUUCUUUGAGGGAAUCCAGUCUUUCCAGCACGAGUCAGCUAUGUGCGGGACGAAUAUGGGCC